rnacentral:misc_RNA from 1 species
UGAUGGGGAAGCAUCAACAGCUCUUCGGUAUUAUUGCCUUUAUAUCAUUGUUUUGGCUAUGAAUGGUGAGUACUACUUGUCAUCAUCAGUCCCAGUUAUAGUUGUUAUGUAAUAACAACAACCAUUAUGUAUCACAAUGCACUCCACGACAUUUUUGUGCAAUUCCUUCUUUGGUUCUUGUUGGUUCCUGUCCGUAUAGAUGACAAUGCUGCUCCUUGUGUCAUAUAUUCUAUGGAUUAAGAAAUUAUUUUUGCAAAACUGUAAAUUCUGCUUACAUGUCUCCGAACAUGUAAACACAACAAUGAACCACUUAAUUAUUAUACAAAUAAUACAUGUGUUACAGCUAUCCUUGAGAUAAUAUCAUGGAGAUUUUGAUCCUUAUUUUUGUUUUUGUAUCAGGAACUUCUGAAGCAUUUCUACACGCUGUUGCAACAGAGAGCCAACUCAAACGUUCAAACGAUUCAUUGCUUGUUUUCUCACUGCUAUAUGUAGUGCUGAAUGUCCUACUGAUACGGUCAGCUGGUUCAGUUGGCUUGAUUCUGGCGAAUUCAUUAAAUAUGAUUUUGAGGAUUAUAUACUCUGCAGUAUUCAUCAAGCAUUAUUUCAAGGACUCUUCUGCAUUUACUUUCCGCGGCUGCUUGCCUUCAGGUUGGACAGUUCUGUUGUUUUCUGGUGCAACUACUCUCAUUUCUGAGAGAGUAUUUCUAGACCACAAAAAUUUCUGGCCGACGUUUUUAGUUCACUUUUCCAUUGGGUUUACUUGCUUUGGCAUAUCCUCUGUUGUCAUUUAUCGGCGGGAAAGAACUUUUAUCAACAAAAUUAUCCGUUUUCAUGAUCAUGUGGACUGAAGAGCAGCCAACUGCCCCAAGAGCUCUGAAAGAUGGAAUUACUUUUCUUUGGUACCACUCUAAUCAUUGGCUAUAUACUCUUUUGCGGUUUGAUAUUUUAAUUUUUCAUUGCUCCUUAUUUGGAUAUAUAAUUAACAAUAGAGGGCUUUUGAUGCAGCCCGAAACAAUGAAGACUAGGGAGCUACAAGCCAUUUAUUUAUUCAAGGGGUACAUGAUAAUUAAUAUUUCCUUUAGGAAUAUGAUACACUGGAAGUGGUUAGGAUUAGUAGCAAUAUAAUUAACAAUAUAACAAGUUAUAAUUUUGCCACCAGAUACCAUUUAGUUUUAUAACCCAACCCAAUUCCUUCUUCCCAUCUCUCAGAGAAUCUAAAUGGAGUUAUGUCUUUUUGGUAAGCAAUUAAUCUAGUUAUAGUUCUUUUUUCUUCCAAUUUUAUCUAUUACUUGUGUUUGCUGGCACAAUGAUAACUCACUCUGUAUGAGAAUGUUGGGAAAUUUUGAAGGACAUCUGCAGUUCCAAUUCUCAAUUAAUCUUCAACAUAUGACAAUUGAAUAAUAAUAUAACUGAAGUUGAAGUGAAAUCUGAUA